UCCCUGGUGGCUCAGAGGUUAAAGCGUCUGCCUGGAAUACGGAAGACCCGGGUUCGAUCCCUGGGUCGGGAA
rfam:TPA: Bos taurus chromosome 29, whole genome shotgun sequence.